GAUGAACGCUGGCGGCGUGCCUAAUACAUGCAAGUCGAGCGAACAGACGAGGAGCUUACUCCUCUGACGUUAGCGGCGGACGGGUGAGUAACACGUGGAUAACCUACCUAUAAGACUGGGAUAACUUCGGGAAACCGGAGCUAAUACCGGAUAACAUGUUGAACCGCAUGGUUCAACAGUGAAAGACGGUCUUGCUGUCACUUAUAGAUGGAUCCGCGUCGCAUUAGCUAGUUGGUAAGGUAACGGCUUACCAAGGCAACGAUGCGUAGCCGACCUGAGAGGGUGAUCGGCCACACUGGAACUGAGACACGGUCCAGACUCCUACGGGAGGCAGCAGUAGGGAAUCUUCCGCAAUGGGCGAAAGCCUGACGGAGCAACGCCGCGUGAGUGAAGAAGGUCUUCGGAUCGUAAAACUCUGUUAUUAGGGAAGAACAAAUGUGUAAGUAACUAUGCACGUCUUGACGGUACCUAAUCAGAAAGCCACGGCUAACUACGU
rnacentral:rRNA from 1 species